NNNGACCUCAGAUCAGACGAGACUACCCGCUGAACUUAAGCAUAUCAAUAAGCGGAGGAAAAGAAACUAACCAGGAUUCCCUUAGUAAUGGCGAACGAACAGGGAACAGCUCAAAUUUUAAAUCUCGGCCGCUUGCAGCCGCGAAUUGUAGUUUCUAGAAACGUUAUCCCCGUGACGACGACCGGUCCAAGUUGCUUGGAACAGCAUAUCGAAGAGGGUGAGAAUCCCGUAUUCGGCCGGACGUCCCAUGGCACGAGGCGUUUUCGAAGAGUCGGGCUGUUUGGGAUUGCAGCCCAAAAUGCGUGGUAAACCCCACNUAAAGCUAAACAUUGGCACGAGACCGAUAGCGAACAAGUACCAUGAGGGAAAGA
rnacentral:rRNA from 1 species